rnacentral:tRNA from 3 species
AUCCUUGUGGAGCAGCGUUGUUCGGCCGAUUGAGAAUCGGUUAUCGAAUUGGGAUCGAGAGGUUGCGGGUUCAAAUCCCGUCCAGGUUC